UUUUUUCCUGAGAUGAGAGCCGAGCUGAUUUUUCCUUGUUUAUGAGUCCAAAAAUAAUGCUCAUGAACAGGAGUAAAUCAGCUCUGGUCUCUAUUGGAAAU
rnacentral:pre_miRNA from 13 species